CUAGGUGGCGAUAGCGAAGAGGUCACACCCGUUCCCAUGCCGAACACGGAAGUUAAGCUCUUCAGCGCCGAUGGUAGUCGGGGGUUUCCCCCUGUGAGAGUAGGACGCCGCCAAGC
rnacentral:rRNA from 1 species